UUGAUGACUAUUCUGGAAUUCGAAAUCCAAGUCGAAUUGAAUUCAGUGGUUAUGAUCCAUACUCAACUGUACAAAGUUACCAAGAGAAUCUAAUUCUUGAUAUUUACGUUCAAAAUGAGGACUAUUACGAUGAACUUGCGACUGAAGUUAGUCCUUUACCUGGAAUUGGAUGCCCACAUUACUUAUCCGCAGGCUUGCCUUCAUUGCCGCUAUUGAAAACUAAUUAUGCACAUUUCACAAUGGUCGAGUCCAUUCAAGGUUCAACUAAUUCUCGAACACUCAACGAGAUUCAUGCAUCAGGAAAUAACAACUUAUUAAGAUUGAAAUCAAAUGUUCUGGGUGUAAAAACUGAAGCUAUUUAUGAUUAUCAACUUGGAGUUAUUACCUCCUGCAAGAGGGUGACUCCUGUAAAAUGGCACCUACAGAUUUGCAUUCACCUGGAAUCAGUUCUUAUCGUAACUUCAAUUUGGCAAGUCUUUUUCUUAUUGAUUCCUUAAUGAAUGCUUUCAAAUAUCUUGGAAAGUACAACUUGGAACACUCAUCUGGAUUUGCUGUAGAUGCAUGGGAAUCAAUCAGAGCUAAUGUUAAUAUUAAUGGGAAAAUGGUCGACAGAGCGGUCAUUACUCAAUAUUUUGC